AAAUUGGUAUCCUCAAAAAACCUAAGUGUUUCUCUCUGCCACCACCGUCUUCAUCAUCAUCUACCCCUCUCUCCCUCUUUUUGCAUACAUUUCAGAAGAGCUCAUACUUUAUAUGUUUCUCAUGUGACUUUGAAGCCUCUUUCUUUCCUUCAAUAUACCCAAGGGCAUUUGAAAUUUUGGAAGAAGAAAGCAGUUGGGAUUGAGUUUGCAAAGCAUUUUAGAUCCCACUUGGAUCCUAUUGAAGGUCUCUCGGUGGGUUUGUUUAUUUGUUGAACAUGAGUAGUAUUUUCUAGUAUUAUCAAAAGUUCAAUUACCUUGCAGCAGUAGGCUGAAAACAGGUAAAUCUUGUUUGGUAUUAUAAUAAUGAACUUGGAAGACCAGAGAAGAAGAAAUUUAUUGCUCGAGCCAAAGCAUACCAUGGUUCAACUUGGAUAUCAGCUAGUCUUUCAGGAUUUACCAUUACAGACUUCCACCUCUGCAUCAAAACUUCGACCUGCCACCUCCAUUUGUGUUGGACACUGAAUGCCCUCAUUAUUGGCGCUAUCAUCUACCAGGUGAAACUAAGGAGGAAUUCUCAACAAGAUUAGCCAACAAUUUAGAAAACCUUAUUCUCAAAGAGGGUCCAGAGACAAUUGCUGUAUUUAUUGCUGAGCCUGUGAUGGGAGCAGGUGGUGUUAUACCUCCUCCUGCUACUUAUUUUGAGAAGGUACAAGCUAUUGUGAAAAAUACGACAUACUUUUCAUUGCAAACGAGGUUAUUUCUGCAUUUGGGAGGCCUGGGACAAUGUUUGGAUAUAUGCCGAUUGGAGCAGUCAUGGUGAGCCCUCAAGUAACAGGAGUCGUUUAUUCUCAAAGCAACAAGCUUGGUAAUUUCUCUCAUGGGUUUACCUACACAACGUGAUGAAACCAAACAGGACCUAGAUUCAGAAGAUCUUUGCUCGCUCUUGCUAUUAAAGUCGGAAUCAGAUUUGCUGUUUUGCUUGAAUCUUGACUUUAUAGUCAAUUUGGUAGGUUAGGUUGAUUUUUGGUCGGGUUUCUUGAAGCUUUAAGGUUGUAUGGUCGUGGCUGGCGCCAAAUAGAAGAGCAUGUAGGCACCAAAUCUGCAGUUCAAAUUCGAAGCCAUGCUCAAAAGUUUUUCUCUAAGGCUCAUUGCUUUGAGUUCAUUACAAGAUUUCCUCUAACACUCGUAAAUGUAUUAUAUCUUUUAUUACCAAGAUUUACAUGAUUAAGAAAAUGCAUUGUAUGUUUUAUUACCUUGCAUAUGUAUUAUUUAAAUUAGUUUUGAUUCUAAAUUUUUAUUUUUACUUAAGAGUUCUAACUUUUGGAUUUUAA